UACGUAGGGUGCAAGCGUUGUCCGGAAUUAUUGGGCGUAAAGAGCUUGUAGGCGGUCUGUCGCGUCUGCUGUGAAAAUCCGGGGCUCAACCCCGGACUUGCAGUGGGUACGGGCAGACUAGAGUGUGGUAGGGGAGACUGGAAUUCCUGGUGUAGCGGUGAAAUGCGCAGAUAUCAGGAGGAACACCGGUGGCGAAGGCGGGUCUCUGGGCCGUAACUGACGCUGAGGAGCGAAAGCAUGGGGAGCGAACAGG
rnacentral:rRNA from 1 species